AUCCAGCUGACGAGUCCUAAAUAAGACGAAACGCGCGUCCUGGAU
rfam:Schistosoma mansoni strain Puerto Rico chromosome W, complete genome